UACGAAGGGGGCUAGCGUUGCUCGGAAUCACUGGGCGUAAAGCGCACGUAGGCGGAUCUUUUAAGUCAGGGGUGAAAUCCUGGAGCUCAACUCCAGAACUGCCUUUGAUACUGAGGAUCUCGAGUCCGGAAGAGGUGAGUGGAACUCCGAGUGUAGAGGUGAAAUUCGUAGAUAUUCGGAAGAACACCAGUGGCGAAGGCGGCUCACUGGGACGGUACUGACGCUGAGACGCGAAAGCGUGGGGAGCGAACAGG
rnacentral:rRNA from 1 species